AUUGAACGCUGGCGGCAGGCCUAACACAUGCAAGUCGAGCGAGCGGCGGACGGGUGAGUAAUGUCUGGGAAACUGCCUGGUGGUGGGGGCUAACUACUGGAAACGGUAGCUAAUACCGCAUACCAUCAGAUGUGCCCAGAUGUGAUUAGCUAGUAGGUGUGGUAACGGCUCACCUAGGCGACGAUCCCUAGCUGUGCUGAGUGGAGGACCAGCCACACUGGAACUGAGACACGUUCCAGACUCCUACGGUAGGCAGCAGUGGGGAAUAUUGCACAAUUGGCGAAAGCCUGAUGCAGCCAUGCCGCGUGUGUGAAGAAGGCCUUCGGGUUGGAAAGCACUUGCAGCGGGGAGGCGUUACCCGCAGAAGAAGCACCGGCUAACUCCGUGCCAGCCGCCGCGGUAAUAC
rnacentral:rRNA from 1 species